UACGGAGGGUGCAAACGUUGCUCGGAAUCAUUGGGCGUAAAGCGCACGUAGGCGGCCUGAUAAGUCGGGUGUGAAAGCCCUGGGCUCAACCCAGGAAGUGCACUCGAAACUGUCAGGCUUGAAUAUGGAAGAGGGUCGCGGAAUUCCAGGUGUAGCGGUGAAAUGCGUAGAUAUCUGGAGGAACACCGGUGGCGAAGGCGGUAUUCUGGACCAUAACUGACACUGAGAGACGAAAGCCAGGGGAGCAAACGGG
rnacentral:rRNA from 1 species